GUCGGUUAUUUUAACAAUCACGUUCUCUCUCUACUCCAUACAUGUCGCGUGUGCUGUUGUGAAGAUCCAGGUUAUUCAGUAAGGAAACUUGACACUGCGUUGUCUGAAUUCAAUAUCUUACGUGUGUAUAUUAUUAUAUUCUUGUGCGAAGUGAUAGGCGAUCGGAAACUGCCGACUUGACCGGGCCAGGAGCAGGAUGUAUUCUGAGUAUACACAAUGUGGGACCAGUCCUAACUUUAAUGUCACACUCUCACAUCGAUGCGAGCUCUUGUAGCCGUGCCAAAGAAGGCAUCGACAACGUCACCUGAGUGGAAAGUGGUUGCUAAAGUGCUAGUUGUGGAGUCAAAACUUUAUACAUGUCGGAAUUGAUAGAUACUCUUUCUUCACAUGCGCCUUAGUGUGAGCUUCGUCGUUGUCAUUAGCCGUGGUGAUAUCAACACCAGAGGCAUUGUUGGGACUGACAAUGGUCGUUAUAAAACCUCACACUCACAGUUUCACAAUCACAAAUAUACAAACUAACAACUGAACAACAGACAGUAUAUUAUUCCGUCCCGAGGGGCUGUCAUCCUCAUUUCUAUUAGGGUCGCCCUGUCUUUGGUAUUACGUCCAAUAAGGGUUUAAACUUCAACAAAAGGAA